UGGGUUUCGUCUUUUAUUUUGCAGUAAAGCAAUGAAAGGAAAUAUUUGAAUAGAUAUGACACAAAAAGAAGGACAUUGAUAUUGGUCAUGUUUAGAAUCAACACGUCAAAUAUCAGUUUCGUAAUUACCUAAAAGUCCAUAGUAUGAACAUACUUCUGUUCAUCUAAGCGUUAUAACAAAUCAUACAAUACCUAAUUCUAUUCUUUUCAAGCUCCUUUAUAUUUUUUCAUCCAAAAACACCUAUGCUCAUUGUGUAUAAAAUAUGAAAACCUUUCUUGAUAAGACUUUGAGAUUUAAAUCAACUUUGCAAAAUAUCCAGUAACACACCUCUGCUAAAAAUUGCACAUAUAAUAAACAAAUCAUUAAUUGACUACUUUGUCUGUUGCUCUAUUUAAAAAAAAACUGAUGAUUUGAAUACAAAUAGCAGUUUACCCGUCAUUAUUUCAACAUUUACAAGACAUAGAUAUGUUAUGGGAUUUUAUUGUUUCCCAAAUGUUUAUAGAAUUAUUCACACUCUUUAAAUUAUUUAGAUAGAAAAGAUAACAUGGCUGAGCUUUAAGAUUGCGUUUCACAGGACUUAUAUAACAGUUUGGCAUUGAAAUUCUCAAUUGUGAGAGCAAAGAUAAAAAUCCACUACCAUAAACAUCCUCCAACCAUAGAAACGGGACUUUCGUUGAAGCGUUGUACAUUUUCCGUACGAUAUCCAUUGACAUGAUUGAACUGUGUCCGGCACAGUAUGGAAGGAAUUUCAAAAAUGGAUAUUCUUCCACUGAAAUAUACCAUUUGUGUCGACGACGACGUUGAGGCUUAUUACGUGUAAUCAUUUUACAUUCCAAAAUAUUUGAUGUAGAAUUGUUGUCCACUUUCUUUAAGAGAUAAGGAAUCAAACGGGGAACGUUGAUUGUAAUAUCUUCAUCCAUUUUUAUAACAAAUUUUGCAUUGUUACAGAACUUAUUGACCCAAAACAAACUAAAGACAAGUUUGUAUGUUAGGUUUCUGUAUGAAUCUAUAAAAUUCCCUUGCACUUUGUUGCUCUUUGUAUAUUUCACUUUCACGUUUGAUAUUCCGUUGAAGUGUUUCAUUUUUCGUCUGUCCAAGCACGAAAACAUAUUCUAUGAGUUUUUUGUCAAAAUUAGAAAUGGAUCCAAAGGUCGAACGAAUCAAAUGACGUCCUUCAAAGUUUGAUGUUGUUAUAUGAACAAAUACUAAAAGAAAUACAUCUUUUUCAUAACAUUUGAAAACAUUGUUGAGCAAAGGAAUGUAUCGAUGUUGAUGAAUGAAGGGGUCAUUCAAUUGAUCCGCCGAUGCGUUUACAUAGAAGCUCCUGAAAUUAUCGGUGAUCACUUUAUCUCUUAUUAUUUUUUCUUUUUGUGUAAUAUUAAACAAUGAUAUUUCCACUUUAGUCCGAUCCUUUUGUAUAAUAGUAACCUGUUGAACAGUAACAGUUGAUGGCAGCGUUAUAAUUUUGUUAUCAAUUUGAAUAUCUUUAUAUCUUUCUUCUAUUUGUUUCUGGUCUGUUGGAUGAGAUGUUGAACACACACACACAAUGUUUUGGCUGUAGUAACUUGUAACUAUGAUCCAUGAGACAAUGGUAAACACAUAUAUCACAAGUAUUUUUUUUUUAUCAACUUCAUAGUUACUAAAAUUCAUUCAUUGUCGGAAAUAUAAUAUGA
rnacentral:lncRNA from 1 species